rnacentral:piRNA from 1 species
UACCAAAACGUUAAAGGACCUUCACCUA